GACGAACGCUGGCGGCGUGCUUAACACAUGCAAGUCGAACGGAAAGGCCCUGCUUUUGUGGGGUGCUCGAGUGGCGAACGGGUGAGUAACACGUGAGUAACCUGCCCUUUACUUUGGGAUAACUUCAGGAAACUGGGGCUAAUACCGGAUAGUAGCUCCUGCUGCAUGGUGGGGGUUGGAAAGUUUCGGCGGUUGGGGAUGGACUCGCGGCUUAUCAGCUUGUUGGUGGGGUAGUGGCUUACCAAGGCUUUGACGGGUAGCCGGCCUGAGAGGGUGGCCGGCCACAUUGGGACUGAGAUACGGCCCAGACUCCUACGGGAGGCAGCAGUGGGGAAUAUUGCACAAUGGGCGGAAGCCUGAUGCAGCAACGCCGCGUGCGGGAUGACGGCCUUCGGGUUGUAAACCGCUUUCGCCUGUGACGAAGCGUGAGUGACGGUAAUGGGUAAAGAAGCACCGGCUAACUACGUG
rnacentral:rRNA from 1 species